rnacentral:pre_miRNA from 1 species
UACCCUGUAGAUCCGAAUUUGUGGUACGUACAUUUUCACGAAUUCGUUUCUACCGGUGAC